rnacentral:rRNA from 1 species
AUUGAACGCUGGCGGCAGGCCUAACACAUGCAAGUCGAGCGAGCGGCGGACGGGUGAGUAAUGUAUGGGGACUGCCCGAUAGAGGGGGUUAACUACUGGAAACCGUGGCUAAUACCGCAUACUAUCGGAUAACCCAUAUGUGAUUAGAUAGUAGGUGGGGUAAAGGCUCACCUAGGCGACGAUCUCUAGCUGGUCUGAGAGGAUGAUCAGCCACACUGGGACGGAGACACGGCCCAGACUCCUACGGAGGCAGCAGUGGGGAAUAUUGCACAAUGGACGCAAGCCUGAUGCAGCCAUGCCGCGUGUAUGAAGAAGGCCUUAGGGUUGUAAAGUACUUUCAGCGGGGAGGCGUUACCCGCAGAGGAAGCACCGGCUAACUCCGUGCCAGCAGCCGCGGUAAUUC